rnacentral:rRNA from 1 species
AUGGCAAGGGUGUUGGCUUUCCAAGGCGGCACGAGUAGUCUUGAUGAACUCUUCCAUAUGAUUAGCAUGUUGAUGUAUAUGAUGGGAUUCUAUAGCUUACAAGAAUCCCUUCACCAGGAGAUUGCCAAACACAUAUCCAGAUUCUUCUGGGCAGGACAGGGCGAUCGGCAGAAGUAUCACAUGGUUAAAUGGUCUGAGAUAUGCGAACCAAAAGAUCAAGGCGGUCUCGGGGUCAUAUCAUCCAAGCGGAUGCACAUCGCCUUGCUGUCUAAGUGGUUGUGGCGCAUUGAGACCGGUGAAGUGGGUUUGUGGCUCUAG